AUGAGCAUUGGCCAGAGCAUCUGCAGAAUGCUAUUCAUAAGCUCUGGCUUAUGUAUGAGCAUAGCCAGCAUGAAAACAGGAUGGCAUGUCUGGAGCAUAUAUGAGAAGCUUGUUGAAGAUGUGAACAACCUCUUGGAUUAUAAGAAUAGCCAGCCUGAGGUAAACCAGAAGAAUGAUGCUGACAACAUUUCAGUUAGUGUGGAAAGCAGCAUGACAAAGGAUGCUGAGAUAAAAAAAUUAAAGGCUGUUGUUGACCAGUUAAAGCAAAUUCAUGUAGCUCAAGCCACUGUCAUUAGGAAUUUGAAGUUCAACCAUCUUAAGGAGAAGGAAAAGUUGAGCUCUGAUAAGAGGACUUUGGAGAUUUGCUAUGCUGACCUGAAGAAAGAGAAGGAUGACCUAAAGAAAGAGAAGGAUAAGCUGGAUUGUUGCAUUGCUGAGCUGAUGAAAGUGAAGGAGAAGUUGACCAUGGAGAAGAGUACUCUUGCUUCCUGCAUUGUUGAGCUCAAGACAGCAGGUGAUAGCAACAAGAGGAAGCUUCACCAGAUUAAGGCUAUUUGUGAUGAGGACUAA
rnacentral:rRNA from 1 species